rnacentral:rRNA from 1 species
GAUCAUGGCUCAGGACGAACGCUGGCGGCGUGCCUAACACAUGCAAGUCGAACGAAGCUUUGAGGAGCUUGCUUUUUAAAGCUUAGUGGCGGACGGGUGAGUAACGCGUGAGCAACCUGCCUCUCAGAGGGGGAUAACGUUUUGAAAAGAACGCUAAUACCGCAUAACAUAUCGGAACCGCAUGAUUCUGAUAUCAAAGGAGCAAUCCGCUGAGAGAUGGGCUCGCGUCCGA